GCUGAGGCAGGAGAAUGGCGUGAACCCGGGAGGCGGAGCUUGCAGUGAGCUGAGAUCCGGCCACUGCACUCCAGCCCGGGCGACAGAGCGAGACUCCGUCUCAAAAAAAAAAAAAGAGAAAUUGUCCAAAGAGUCCUCAGAAUCUGCCUGGAGCGCGCAUGGGGCUGGCCUGGUGCGUCGCAGGAACCACAGGAAGUGAGCCGGGGCUCACGUGGAGCAGCUGGGUCUUCAGGCUGCCUGGGCUGUUUGUUCUCAUGAACGACUCUGGAGCAGCUGUCUGUCCCUCAGAGGGCACCAGGAGGCAGCAAAGGUUAUCUUAUUUAUUUUAUUUUGUUUUCUGCUAUAUUUAGAGCGGCAAAAAACAGAGCAGAGGGUUUCUGCUGUCUCCAGACUGUCUACCAAAGAGAAGGCGACAGAUGCCUCCUGGGUUUGGAAGGGGGCUGCACUGUGGAUCCCCCAUCCAUUCUGCAGUCUCCAGCAGAGCAGGCAGCCAGGCCCCAGCGUGCAUCUGUCCCAGUGCCCCGAUGACCACCUGGUCAGCCCUCCCAGCCUCCCCUCCAGGGGGCUUUCCAGCAAAGCCACAUUCGGCUAGGAAUUUGGAACUCACAAUCUUUAUUAACCCCUGGCAAAACUUCCCGUUUGCAUGUCAGAUCACAUUGAAGCCUGAAGAUGAGCUUUUCUUACUAGUUUUUCCAAUAAGUAAUAGCAAAACCCACUUAUCAUACUUAAACUACAGUAAGGAAAAGAGGUGGUUCUCUGCAGCGAUUGUUUAGUGUGGCCCUCAACCAGUAAAUGUCCCCAAGUCUCCUUGGUGGGUGGCAGGAUUUAAAUUCAGCCAAAUCCUGUCCUAGUGUGUGCAGUGUCCUCGGCCCUGUGGACACAGGUGAAUGAGGGACCAGCCCUGCCCUGGGCUGUUGAGAAGAGAUCAGUCCACCCAGAGUUAGACAUUGUUUUUGUAGAAAACAGGCAUUUAUUAUGUUUAGGGUUUUUUUUUUUUUUUUUUUUUUCCUUACAGGAUAAAAGCCCUUUAUACAGAAACAGAAUGGAACCUUUCAUAUAAAAGCUUUUCUUUAAAGGCUGUGUGGUUCGUAUCACGAAUGCCUGUCAUGAGGCGGGAUUCGGGCACAUACCUGUAUUUUGGCCCCAGAGUGUGCUCUCCCCAAAUCCCCCGAGUAAACCUCUCCGGACCGCUGCUCAGACAACUACGUCAGGUGGAGGUGCCUCCCCCUCUGUGGGCACCAGCUUGGGGAGGUAGGUGCCAUCCACCAUUAUUUAUGCAGGAAGAGACGCAAAACAGCAAUGGCCACAUGGUACGGGGCUCUGCUGGCACCAGAAGUGAAUGAAAUCAGAACUGUCCCACUGAGUCUUCCAAAAGUCACAUUUUUUUUUUUUUCUGUCACCUGCCUUUGGUGACAGGGUCAAAGGCACAGAUUGAAGAGAAAAUCUUGAUUUGGGAGAAGCAUUUAUAUCCAGAUGCCCACCCUCACACUCCCUAGCUUACUUUCUACAUAAUUUAGUUUUAAGAGAAGGAAAUGCAUAAUGUGGUUUUUAGUCUUAACAAGCACUUAAAUUCGUUAGAUGCAUAGAAAAGAACCAUUUAUCAUUUUAUUAUUUUUAUUUUUAUUUUUAUUUUGAGACAGUCUCACUCUGUCACCAGGCUGGAGUGCAGUGGCACGAUCUCGGUUCACUGCAACCUCCGCCUCCCAGGUUCAAGCGAUUCCCCUGUCUCAGCCUCCCAAGUAGCUGGGAAAACAGGCACGUGCCACCACGCCUAGCUAAUUUUUGUAUUUUAGUAGAGACGGGGUUUUACCAUGUUGGUCAAUAUGGUCUCGAUCUCCUGACCACGUGAUCCACCCGACUCAGCCUCCCAAAGUGCUGUAAUCUAAGCAGACAGUUCUGUAAAUGCGUGAGGACCACCUGAAGUCUGCAACCACAGUGGAGGUCACCAAAGGGUAAACUGAGGAAGGGAAGAGGGAAUUCACUUGACCAAAGGCUUAGAGAUGCCCAGGCAAGCUGAUAUUUCCAUCCAGAAUUGUCUUGUUCUUUAACUCUGCUCAAUUGUCAUAUGUAAACAUGAAUUUAUAUACACGUAUGUCACAUGAGUAUGUCGUUUUAAAACAACGUGUACGUAUGUAAGUUUUGUCUGGAUACAGGAAGCUUCUUUAGAGGGCAGCAGGUUGAGGUCUCCGAUUUCUCCGUGGAGGGAAGCCUCUCAGGCACUGUGAUCUCCCGACCUCUGCGCCCUCAGGUGGGAGAGAUGUCAGGCAGCGGGGUCCUUUCCCUGCUGGCACCUGGUAAUGUUCUUGGAGAGAAAGAAAAAAAAAGGGGGAAAUCAUGUGGCCACUUUUCUUAAUAUCCUCUUACAUGAAGUCAUUCAUCAUGAAAAGUUGACUGGAAAAUAAAACACUAGAAAAUAUUAGGGAUGGUGACCAAGUGAGGACUCGUAUCUUCCCAGGACCAGUACAAAGCUCUGUGAAUGUGUCCACACCACCAGCGGUCUCCCCACCCCACACGGCAGCGCGGCAGGGCCGACCCUAGGGCCUGCUCCCCGCCACUGUUGCCCUUCCUGCACCACCCCAAUUUUCAAAGAACCUCUUCCCCAGAGUGUUUAUAUGUAUAGGAGGGAGGGUGGAAGUACCUAAACUCUAGAACUACAACAUCUAAGAAGCCGAGGCCCUGUUUUCUACACAGCAUAUGGUAUCGCAUAACACAAGCCUUCCGGUCUUGAGUUGAAAGGGAACAUGAAAACUCCAGCCUAUUGCUCCCACAGUCUGCUUCCAGGUUGUCAGCCUGCCAGUGAGGGUCUCCUGACCCCGUUUGUAAAGAAACACUGCACUAAGACUUGGGAAUCUCCCCAGCUCCCAGGGAGGGGCGGCAUACAACAGCCUUCCACUGCUGCUUCUACCUCCUGCACCGGCCCAGCAGCAUCUGUCGGUUCUUUUCCGAACUCAUCGCACUUGGAUGGCCUGUGGGCAGGGUCGCUUUUUGCGGGGAGGGUCAUUCUUUCAGUUGGCUUUUGGUUUCAUUUCUCCAGGGCUGGACCUGGUUCUCUUUUGAACACUUGUCAUGAUGUGGCAAGAGAGUCUUUGGAUUUGGGGCUGUGGUUCACCCACGGGAGUCACAGCUGCGGCCUGGACCUUUCCGCCUCACACCCUCACUCACCCUCCUUCAUUAUGCCUGGAGGAUGCCUGUGACGAUUGCCUUCAAGAUGAGGAAAGUGUUUCACUGUUUAUUUCCUCCAUGGGAUGUAGCAGGCGAGCAUGCUUAGGACAGAAAACCACUGAGUUUACUCAGAAGUUUCAAACAAAAAGACACAGUCUGCUGAUCAAUACACAUGGAGCUGCCUCUCCCACUGGCUCAUUUUCCAGUGGCUGCGUGCUGGCCUCUCGGAGCAGAGUGUGGAUCCCUGGAUCCAGGUUGAACUGGGGGAGAAGAGGUAGGGAGCGGGUGUGCCCGUGACCCCCAACUCUUCCUGUGGAGAGAAACCCAAAAUAUGGCUGCUUCAGAAGGAAAGCAGCCCCAUCGGGUGGGGGCAGAAGAGGGUAGGCAGCAGAGGCCAGGUCUGCAGACAAAAGCCACACCUCAGAGUGGUUGGAAGCCAGGACAGCAGGGACUCGUGGAGGCGGCCGCUUCACAGGAGUCCUUUCUCCAGUCGUGCUAAGGAGGAGCCCCUGCCUGGCCAGCACUGCCCCUGCCUCUUGCCGCACCUCGCCAGUGUGCCCUCUGCCCACCCACCACCGUAGUAGGCAUCUGGCUUUUCCCACCAACCCAUCUACCUUUUUGGUGGUCCAGACCUAGAGUCCUUGCAGAGUACCCCUCCUCCCACCCUCACUUCAAGUGAGGUUUGGAUGAGAUAGACCACAUCCCCCUGGUCACAAAUAUUGGUUCGGGAGUGGACAUGUGGGCCUGUUCAAGCUGAUGAGAGCCAGGACCCCCAGACUUCUGUUACAACUCUUGGGAGAGAGAUUGUCUCUUCUCUGAACCUUGCAGUAUAUAGAAAUGAGCCUAUUGAUGCAACAAUAUAAAUGGCAUUGAGAGGGGUGUCCAGAGCUGCUGGGGUCAGGGUAGGGAGGUCAGCCUGGCAGAAGCCACCUUGUGGAGCAUGAAAAUGAAAGAGACCUUGAGAAAGGCCAGAGGAAUCCAGGCCUGUGGUGACAUUUGAGCUGCUGGAUCAAACUUCACCUGAAGUCGUAUUCCUACUAGAUUUUAUUUUUUCCACUGUGUGGGCCAAUGCAUUCCCUUUAUACUGUUUAAGCCAGGCAUGGUGGCUCACACCUAUAAUCCCAGCAACUCGGGAGGCUGAAGUGGGAAGAUCAUUGAGGCCAGGAGUUCAAGACCAGCCUGGGCAACAUAAGAAGACCCUGUCUCUAAAAAAGAAUUAAAUAUAGAUAAAUAAAUAAGUAAAUAAAUAAUAAAAAUAUAUUGUUUAAACCAGUUUCACUUGA